UACGAGGGGUGCAAGCGUUGCUCGGAAUUAUUGGGCGUAAAGCGUGCGUAGACGGUUGCGUAAGUCAGAUGUGAAAGCCCCGGGCUCAACCUGGGAAUUGCAUUUGAGACUGCGUAGCUAGGGUGCGGAAGAGGGAAGCGGAAUUUCCGGUGUAGCGGUGAAAUGCGUAGAUAUCGGAAGGAACACCAGUGGCGAAGGCGACUUACUGGACACAUAUUGACGCUGAGGUGCGAAAGCGUGGGGAGCAAACAGG
rnacentral:rRNA from 1 species